UACGUAGGCAGCAAGCGUUGUUCGGAGUUACUGGGCGUAAAGGGUGCGUAGGCGGCCCUGUAAGUAUGGUGUGAAAUCUCCCGGCUUAACUGGGAGGGUGCGCUAUAGACUGCGGGGCUCGAGUGUGGGAGAGGAAAGUGGAAUUCCUGGUGUAGCGGUGAAAUGCGUAGAUAUCAGGAGGAACACCGGUGGUGUAAACGGCUUUCUGGACCAUAACUGACGCUGAAGCACGAAAGCGUGGGGAUCAAACAGG
rnacentral:rRNA from 1 species